rnacentral:lncRNA from 1 species
AGUACUCGUCUCGAAGAUACUGCGACAGUACAAUUUUAUAACGGCUCCUAGAGCUAAAUCAGGCAGUUUAAACAUGUGACAGGUCCAAAUCGCAGGUUUUCUCCUAAUUCAAAUUCCAAGUCCAACAUGUAUAAACUACUCAAUUUAAUAUCACAUGCUCCAAAUUCAGAUUUGCUAUCUAUAACAAAAUCCAUGAAUUCGAGCUAAAGUAAACUAUACAAAAUCUGAAAUUACACAUGUUGACUAUUGCGCACUUAGGAGUAUAAGCCGAUGAUUAACCCACCUUAGUCGCUAAUCCCCAGCAGCGAGGACGUCCCGAAGCAAAGGAACACCCUGCUGGAUCAAUCCGCAAACCUCCAAAGGCCAGAAAUCACGCUCCCGCCAAACUCUACACGUAAAAUCCGAAAAUGAGCACCGAUUCUGCCUCAAAAACAGCAGCAGAGAAGAGAAUAAUUCCGACCAAGAAAACCUCCACCAAAACCAGCAAGUAAGGGCUUCUUGGAUUCCUCUCGAAGUCCCGAAUCCAACGAACCAAGUCUCGUCGAAAUCCGAUGCUCCUACGUCGAGAGGGAGCCGAAACGCCGACGGUCGACGCUGGAAAUCAGUGAAAACAGCACCUCGAGCUCGAAUUCAAUGAAGCUUGAAGUAGAGAAGAAAUCCAUGGAGGAAUGAGAGGAUACCCACCUCAACCAGCGACUCCAAUUCCGGCACGGCGUCGAGAACGACGAAAACACUCCCUCGCCCGGCCUCCUCGCGAAACUACGGCGACGCACGUAUGCUCGGACGGCUCCGCGGCGCGAUGUCGACGACGAAAUGCUCCACACGAACUCUUCCUUGCUCACAAUCGGCUAGAGAGAG